rnacentral:lncRNA from 1 species
ACCUUAUCACCGUCUUCCAUCUCUGUGUGUUGGUACUGUCUUCGCAGAGCUUGUAGCUGGACUUUCUUGACCUUUUCUCCUCCAGAGUGACAACGAAAAAGAAUGUUCCAAGCUUCUCUCACCGACAUUGCAUUCUGGAUCUUUUCAAAGUUUGUGUCGUCAACACAUUGAUGUAUUAUUAACAGUGCCUUGUCGUCUUUUUCUUUGAAUUCUUUCUUUUGCUCCUCCUUACCAGAAGAGUCAACCAUUGAAUCUCCUUCGACCACAUUGCUGACCUUCUGUACGCGGAAAA